rnacentral:rRNA from 1 species
AGCGUAGGCGGAAUGAUAAGUCUGAUGUGAAAGCCCACGGCUCAACCGUGGAACAGCAUCGGAAACUGUCAUUCUUGAGUGCAGAAGAGGAGAGUGGAACUCCAUGUGUAGCGGUGGAAUGCGUAGAUAUAUGGAAGAACACCAGUGGCGAAGGCGGCUCUCUGGUCUGCAACUAGCGCUGAGCUCGAAAGCAUGGGUAGCGAACA